rnacentral:misc_RNA from 1 species
UUUCCGUAGGUGAACCUGCGGAAGGAUCAUUACCGUUGGGGCUCCGGCCCCAAUCAAGAUACCACCCCUUGCAUUUUGAGCACCUUCUGUUUCCUCGGCGGGCCCGCCCGCCAACGGGGACCACACCAAACCCUUCUGUACUGCAGUAAGCGUCUGAAAACAAACAAAAAUCAAAACUUUCAACAACGGAUCUCUUGGUUCUGGCAUCGAUGAAGAACGCAGC